UAUCAAUAAGAGUUGAAUUUCUGCCGGGAAAAUAUUCACGUGGCAGAAAGCGGGGAAUCCUUCGAAGAUUCGUUUCGAAUCUUGGGGCUAAUAUCCAAAUAGGAUAGGUGGCGCUCACCUCCAGCCCGACAGCUAACCUCGUAAACUAAAUUGAGAGAGCUU
rnacentral:sRNA from 2 species